UUGAAAGGGAAACGAUUGAAGUCAGUCGUACCGACGAAGGAUCAACUUUUGGAAUGCGAAUUGGGGUAUUCGAGGAGUUUAAAAGCCCUCGUGUGCUCAUGUAUUCGUGCUUCUUGGGUGCACUUCUUCGUAUUGGUAGGUUAACAUCAAUUUUUGNACGUUACAAAAUGACUGGGGGAAUGUAGCUUCGAUUUUUCGAAGUGUUAUAGCCCUUGGUAGAUGUGACGACCGGGAUUGAGGAUUGCAACGAAAUGCUUUCGGGCUAUCCGUCUGACCUCUGGUGGUUGCUUUUGGGGUCGAAAGCGUGCUUACGAACUUUUAAAGUUGNCUAUCAAAAAGGCUAAGAAACGUGAUUAAAAUUUCGUUAAGGAUGUUGACGUA
rnacentral:rRNA from 1 species